rnacentral:rRNA from 1 species
CGCCAUUGCUUACAAUGCAGUCGAGCGGACAGAUGGGAGCUUGCUCCCUGAAGUCAGCGGCGGACGGGUGAGUAGCACGUGGGCCACCUGCCUGUAGGACUGGGAUAUCUCCGGGAAACCGGGGCUAAUACCGGAUAACUCUUUUCCUCACAUGAGGAACAGCUGAACGAUGGUUUCGGCUAUCACUUACGUAUGGGCCCCCGGCGCGUUAGCUAGUUGGUGAGGUAAGGGCUCACCAAGGCCACGAUGCGUAGCCUACCCGACAGGGUGGUCGGCCACACUGGGACUGAAACCCGGCCCAAACUCCUACGGGAGGCUAUUGUACGGAGUCUUCCGCCCUGAACCAAACUCGGACCGAGCGUCGCCACGGGAGUGAGGAAGGUUUUCAGAUCGUACAACUCUGAUGUCACGGAAGAACAUAUUCCGGAGUAACUGCCGGUACCUUGACAGUACCUGACCAGAAAGCCACGGCUAACUACGUGCCAACAGCCGCGGUAAUACGUAUGUGGCAAGCGUUGUCCGGAAUUAUUGGGCGUAAAGCGCGCGCAAGCGGUUCCUUAAAUCUGAUGUGAAAGCCCCCGGCUCAACCGGGGAGGGUCAUUGGAAACUGGGGAACUUGAGUGCAGAAGAUAAGAGUGUGAAUUCCACGUGUAGCGUAGAAAUGCGUAGAAAUGUGGAGGAACACCAGUGGCAAAUGCGACUCUUUGGUCUGUAACUGACGCUGAUGCGCGAAAGCGUGGGGAGCAAACACGAUGAGAUACCCUGCUAGUCCACACCGUUACCGAUGAGUGCUAACUGUUAGAGGGUUUUCGGCCCUUUAGUGCUGCAUCGAACGCUUCAUCACUACGGCCUGGCGGAGUACUGACCACCACGCUGAAACUCAAAGGGAAUUCGACGGUGGCGCGGCACAAGUCGGUGUAUCAUGUGAUUUACUCGAAGCACCUUCGCAUGAUCUUGACCAGUCAUGACUCUCAUGGACAUCGCUUAGAAGAUCAGUGCGGUUCCUCAUUCAGGAGGACAGGAUGAGC